rnacentral:rRNA from 1 species
UACGUAGGGCGCAAGCGUUGUCCGGAUUCACUGGGUGUAAAGGGUGCGCAGGCGGACUGGCAAGUCAGGGGUGAAAUCUCACAGCUCAACUGUGAAACUGCCUUUGAUACUGCUGGUCUUGAGUCAGGGAGAGGUUGAUGGAAUUCCAGGUGUAGCGGUGAAAUGCGUAGAUAUCUGGAAGAACACCGGUGGCGAAGGCGGUCAACUGGCCCUGAACUGACGCUCAGG